CCUACGGGUGGCAGCAGUGAGGAAUAUUGGUCAAUGGACGAGAGUCUGAACCAGCGAAGUAGCGUGAAGGAUGACUGCCCUACGGGUUGUAAACUUCUUUUAUAUGGGAAUAAAAUGAUCCACGUGUGGGAUUUUGUAUGUACCAUAUGAAUAAGGAUCGGCUAACUCCGUGCCAGCAGCCGCGGUAAUACGGAGGAUCCGAGCGUUAUCCGGAUUUAUUGGGUUUAAAGGGAGCGUAGGUGGAUUGUUAAGGCAGUUGUGAAAGUUUGCGGCUCAACCGUAAAAUUGCAGUUGAAACUGGCAGUCUUGAGUACAGUAGAGGUGGGCGGAAUUCGUGGUGUAGCGGUGAAAUGCUUAGAUAUCACGAAGAACUCCGAUUGCGAAGGCAGUUCACUGGACUGCAACUGACACUGAGGCUCGAAAGUGUGGGUAUCAAACAGGAUUAGAUACCCUGGUAGUC
rnacentral:rRNA from 1 species